GACGAACGCUGGCGGCGUGCCUAAUACAUGCAAGUAGAACGCUGAAGGAGGAGCUUGCUUCUCUGGAUGAGUUGCGAACGGGUGAGUAACGCGUAGGGAACCUGCCUGGUAGCGGGGGAUAACUAUUGGAAACGAUAGCUAAUACCGCAUAAUAUUGACUAUUGCAUGAUAGUCAGUUGAAAGGUGCAACUGCACCACUACCAGAUGGACCUGCGUUGUUUUAGCUAGUUGGUGGGGUAACGGCUCACCAAGGCGACGAUACAUAGCCGACCUGGGAGGGGGUCGGCCCCACUGGGAAUGGGAAACGGCCCAGACUCCUACGGGAAGGAGCAGGAAGGAAUCUUCGGGAAUGGACGGAAAGCUGACCGGGCAACGCCGCCUGAGUGAAUAAGGUUUUCGGAUCCGAAAGCCCUGUUGUUAGGGAAGAACGAGUGGUGGAAGGGAAAGCUCACGCUGUGACGGUAUCUAACCAGAAAGCCACGGCUAACUACGUG
rnacentral:rRNA from 1 species